GUGGGGAAUUGUUCACAAUGGGCGCAAGCCUGAUGACGCAACGCCGCGUGGAGGAUGAAGGUCUUCGGAUUGUAAACUCCUGUUGCCCGGGACGAAAAGCUUCGACCUAACACGUCGAAGUCUGACGGUACCGGGUGAGGAAGCCCCGGCUAACUCUGUGCCAGCAGCCGCGGUAAUACAGAGGGGGCAAGCGUUGUUCGGAAUUACUGGGCGUAAAGGGCGCGUAGGUGGCCUUCUAAGUUGAACGUGAAAUCCCUGGGCUCAACCCAGGAACUGCGUCCAAGACUGGGAGGCUUGAAUCCGGGAGAGGGAUGCGGAAUUCCAGGUGUAGCGGUGAAAUGCGUAGAUAUCUGGAGGAACACCGGUGGCGAAGGCGGCAUCCUGGACCGGUAUUGACACUGAGGCGCGAAAGCCAGGGGAGCAAACGGGAUUAGAUACCCUAGUAGUCC
rnacentral:rRNA from 1 species